GAAUCAAGUCCCUCCAUGAAGCCCCUUAAAGGACACCUAAUCCUAUAUACAAGGAUAGAUCCCUCAUGGCCUCAUGCAUUGACUUUACCCUCUGGUUUGUUAUCCUCCAUUCAUUCUUGUAGCUAUCUAGUAACCUAGCCAACUGUUUCAGGGUAUAGAUGUAGCAGCAGAAUCUGCUGUCUUCUAAAUGCUUUUUUUGUGAAUGACUACUUUGAGAUGUCAAAGAUUUUAAAAACAUAACAAAUUUUUAAAAUGUCAUGCCUUACAGGUCCCACCUCUUAAUACUAUCGUGUUGGCAACACCUGAAUUUUGGAGGGGACACAUUGAAACCACAGUACCUUCGUAUCAGGUGCUCCCGGAUUUUGCUCUCCAGCUUCCAGUUCUCCGCCUCCAGGAUCCUCACUCUUUCCAGCAAAUGAAUGCCUGUACUUAAAGAAGGUUGGUGCAAAAAAAUGGAAAGAACAAAAGGGGCACAAGACACAAAACUAGACAAGCCAGGAAGGCUGCGCUCACUGAGAGAGACCAAAUUAUUGAGUGAAUAACUAAAAUUGGAGAAGAACUGAAAGAAAUUGCAUGCAAAGAUUCACACAAAGGAUCAGUGAAACCAAUAAUUGCUUAUUUGAAAGAAUUAAGAUUGGUAUUGGCUAGCUAGAUUAACAAAGAAACAAAAAAGAGAAGUCAAAAUACAAUCAGAAAUGACAAAGAUGACACUACAACCAAACCCACAUAAAUGCAAAAGAUUCUGUGAGAUUAUUACGAACAACUCUAUGCACACAAAUUAAAAAGUCUAGAGGAAAUAGAUAAAUUCCUGGAAACACAUAACCUCCCAAGAUAGAAUCAGGAAGAACGUGAUAACCAAAACACAAACC
rnacentral:lncRNA from 1 species